rnacentral:rRNA from 1 species
UACGUAGGGUGCGAGCGUUAAUCGGAAUUACUGGGCGUAAAGUGUGCGCAGGCGGCCGCGCAAGUCGAGUGUGAAAGCCCCGGGCUUAACUUGGGAAUUGCGCUCGAAACUACGUGGCUGGAGUGUGGCAGAGGAAGGUGGAAUUCCACGUGUAGCGGUGAAAUGCGUAGAGAUGUGGAGGAACACCGGUGGCGAAGGCGGCAUCCUGGACCGGCAUUGACGCUGAGGAGCGAAAGCCAGGGGAGCAAACAGG